GCCAGGCUUGUUGGCGCAUGUCUGUAAUCCCAGCAGCCUGGGAGGCUGAGGCAGGAGGAUCACAAGCUCAAAACCAGCCUUAGAAACUUAGCAAGACCUUGUCUCUA
rnacentral:sRNA from 1 species